GACGAACGCUGGCGGCGUGCUUAACACAUGCAAGUCGAACGGAAAGGCCCUGCUUUUGUGGGGUGCUCGAGUGGCGAACGGGUGAGUAACACGUGAGUAACCUGCCCUUGACUUUGUGAUACCUUCAGGACACUGGGGCUAAUACCGGAUAUGAGCUCCUGCUGCAUGGUGGGGGUUGGCAAGUUUCGGCGGUUGGGGAUGGACUCGCGGCUUUUCAGCUUGUGGGUGGGGUAGUGGCCUACCAAGGCUUUGGCGGGUAGCCGGCCUGAGAGGGUGACCGGCCACAGUGAGACUGAGGUACGGGCCAGACUCCUACGGGGAGCCGCAGUGGCGAAUAUUGCACAAUGGGCGGAAGCCUGAUGCAGCAACGCCGCGUGCGGGAUGACGGCCUUCGGGUUGUAACCCGCUUUCGCCUGGGACGAAGCGUGAGUGACGGUAAUGGGUAAAGAAGCACCGGCUAACUACGUG
rnacentral:rRNA from 1 species